GUGGCGGGGAGGGGCCGCGCGCUCCCGGCUCACCACGUGUGAGCCAGUUCGGGCACCACGGGGCGUGUGCCGCCCCUGGGGGAGGUCACCUUCACGGCGUCACGAGCAUGGGCGAUGGGAGGGGGCGCUGAGGCCUCGCCCUUGGGAAGCAGGAGCUGGGAGGUGUCCGGAUUAGGAUCUUUAAGGUGGCAUUCCGCUGGGGCGUAGCGGGCAUAGUUUGGGGCUGGGAGAAUGCGCCUCUGGCGGUACAGCUCACCCACUUCUGGACGAGCGAAGGCCAAGAGCCGAGCCUGAGGGUGUGGGGCCAGGAGAAAGUACCGAGAAGCUGAGAUCUGGAAAACCCUACGUGUAAAACCUUUACAUCUGCAGCCUGAGCAGUCUACCCGAUGGAGUCACGCUUCCUGUGUUCACAUUCCCAGUCCCUCCUUUUCCUUAUCCUGAAAAUGGGGAUAAUGCAGUUUCUCCCUCACAUGGUUGUUUUACAGAUUAAAUGAGAUAAUGCAUGUAAACACAUCCUGAUACCUAGUGAAUGUUCAAUAAAACUUACGAUAGACGGGA